UACGGGGGGGGGCAAGCGUUGUUCGGAAUUACUGGGCGUAAAGGGCUCGUAGGCGGCCAACUAAGUCGGAUGUGAAAUCCCCAGGCUUAACCUGGGAACUGCAUCCGAUACUGGAUGGCUUGAAUCCGGGAGAGGGAUGCAGAAUUCCAGGUGUAGCGGUGAAAUGCGUAGAUAUCAGGAGGAACACCGAUGGCGAAGGCAGCUCGCUGGGGACGGUACUGACGCUGAGGCGCGAAAGCGUGGGGAGCAAACAGG
rnacentral:rRNA from 1 species